rnacentral:rRNA from 1 species
UACGUAGGGGGCUAGCGUUGUCCGGAUUUAUUGGGCGUAAAGAGCGUGUAGGCGGCCUGACAAGUCUGCUGUGAAAACUCGAGGCUCAACCUCGAGAUGUCGGCGGAAACUGUCUGGCUAGAGUCCGGAAGAGGAGAGUGGAAUUCCUGGUGUAGCGGUGAAAUGCGCAGAUAUCAGGAAGAACACCUAUGGCGAAGGCAGCUCUCUGGGACGGUACUGACGCUGAGGCGCGAAAGCGUGGGGAGCGAACAGG